AUCAGUACAGCAGCCCAUGCUGCUGCUCUGCCUAUGGAGUAGCCAUUCAUUCUUCCUUUACUUUCCUAAUAAACUUGCUUUCACUUUACUCUAUGGACUCGCUCCAAAUUCUUUCUUGGGUGAGAUCCAAACCCUUUCUUGGGGUCUAGAUUGGGACCCCUUUCUGAUAACAUCUUCCUGGCAAACUUCAAAGGGGUGAUACUGAGGAGACCCACCCCCCAACAACAAAGGAAACAGGUCGCAGCACCAAUCAGCUGACUUUGGUAAUAAAGCAUGAAUCUGAGCUAUAUAAAGAGAAGGGGGAGCUGCAGAUUCCCAGCAGCUAUGAGUUACUCAGCAUCAACCUUACCCCUCCUGCAAGGCUUCUCAUCCACAUCACAGUUGAUCCACCUUGAGCUCUCCUAUCCGGUGUUUCCUCUUUCCUGGACUAUGAUCCAUAAGGACUGGGUCCAUCUUGAGUAGUUGUGACCCUCAAUGGCCAACAUAGUGGAAACUCAACAUACAUUUAUGGUAUGGGCAAAUGAGUGAGUGAAUAUAUGCAUGGAUGAAUUUCUACUACUUAUAAUGGUCUAUUGUAAUUGCCCAUUUUCUUUUCUGUUUUCCCCAACUCAACUGGGCAUUCUGUUAGGCAGAAACUGUGUCUGCUUUCUUCACCAGUACUAUGCAUCCCAGUGCAAGGGGUAGUGCCAGAUCAGUAAGUAUUUAAAAUAUGGAAGGAAAGGAGGGACUGGGGGAAUGUUGAUCCUCUAAAAGCUUGUCAUCUAGUUGGGGAGGCCAGAUUAGCACAUAUGAAAUAAUCUGAGAAUGAGAAGCAACUAAACUGAUAGCUGUAACAUUCUGAGAUCUUAAGAUACCCACAGAAGCUGAGUUGGUGUGAGCUGGAAAUGGAGUGCCUGGGGACUGAAAGGCCACAAAGCUCUGUCUAGGAAAGGCUGGUAAUGGGACCAACCAUUCAGGCAGAAUUUGGCUGGGACAGUAUUGUGAAUUUGAAGGUUUCUGAGGGAAGGGAAGUGUUGAUAACUGAUCUAAGGUGAUUGGGCUUAGAUUAUACACACGGAGUGCUUAGAGGUGAAUCGGAAUUCUAGGUCCCUUCUUCCCCAAACUCACUAUUGGGCUAUGAUGAAAGUGCAGGGGGGAGUUUGGCCUCACAGACAAGCCUGUCUUACAAGGCAGGACAACCAUGGCCACACCUUUCCUGGUAAACACUUCCAGCUCUCUAAUCUUUGGGUACUUGACAAGUGCAUUGCAUGAAAGGUUCACUCAAAAUAGAUGUAACAGCAUUUUAGUGUCAGGAGAAUAUGUUAGACUUUUAGUUGAAUCAGGAGACAGAUCUCUCCGUUAAGUGAUAAAAUACAAACCCAAAGGGAGUCCUAGCCCAGGAAUGUCCCUCACAAAGAGAGUUAGGCUACAGUGUUCACCAAAUUCUUAAAUUCUUAAUUCAUAUAAGAGCAAGAUUCUAGCCAAAGCUUAAGUACUAAAGUUUCACCAAUGAAACAGUCUUCUUUUCUUUUCUUUUCUUUUCUUUUCUUUUCUUUUCUUUUCUUUUCUUUUCUUUUCUUUUCCUUUUGAGACAGUCUUGCUCUUGUUGCCCAGGCUGGAGUGCAAUGGUGCAAUCUUAGCUUACUGCAACCUCCACCUCCCAGGUUCAAGCAAUUCUCCUGCCUCAGACUCCCAAGUAGCUGGGAUUACAGUCACCUGCCUAAUUUUUGUAUUAUUUUGGUAGAGGCAGGGUUUCACCAUGUUGGCCAAGCUGGUCUUGAACUCCUGACCUCAGAUGAUCCGCCUGCCUCGGCCUCCCAAAGUGCUGGGAUUACAGGCAUGAGCCACCACACCCAGGUAAUUAAUUGCAUAUUUCUAUACAAGCAGUGAACAAUUGGAAAUUGAAUUAAAAAUCGCAUAUAGUUUACUAAAUUUAUUGCUAAACGCUUUGUUUUUUUGAUGCUUUUGUAAAUGGUUGUGAUUUUUAAUUCAAUUUCCAAUUAUAUGCAUCAUAACUAUAAAACCUUGCUGAGAGGAAAAAGAACUAAAUAAAUGGAGAGAUAUCCUGUGUUCAUGGGAUAGAGAACUGCUAAAAUGCUGUCAAAAAUGUUAAUUUUUCCAAAAUUGAUUUAUAGAUACAAUGCAAUACUAAUAAAAAUCCAAGCAGGCUUUUUUGUAUAUAUUCAUAGAUUGAUUAUAAAAUUUAUACAGAAAGCCAAUAGUUCUAGAAUAGACAAGCAAUUUUGAAAAAGAAGUGCAAAGUUGGAGGGCUCACAAAACCUGAUUUCAAGACUUAACUAUGAAGCUACAGUAAUGAAGACAGUGAGGCGUUUGCUUAACAAUACACCGAUAGUUCAAUGGAGCAGAGUAGAAGGUCCAGAAACAGGCCCUUACAUAUAUAGUCAAUUAAUUUUUGAGAAAUGUGGCAAAGUAAUUCAAUGGAGACAAAAGUAUUUUCAACAAAUUGUGCUGGAACAAUUGGGCAUCUAUAUGUCUAACUAUAUCUCCAUCAUAUUGAUUUUAUUCAUAAUUAUCACAAACUGAAAACAAUCUAAGUCUCAAAUGGUAAAUGGAUAAACUAUGAAAUACUAUUCUAUAAUAAAAAGGAAUGAACUACUGAUACAAGUAACAACAUAAUUGAAUCCCAAAUAUAUUAUGGUUAAGUGAACAGAACCAGACUCAAAAGGCUACUUGCUUUGUGACAUUUUAGAAAAGGAAGAAAACAAAUAGGUCAAUGGUUACCAUGGGUUGGUGGGUGGGGAAGGGGUUCACUAUAACAAGGCCCAAGGAAAUUUUAGGGGAAGAUAGACCCAUUCUGUAUCUUAAUUGUGGUGAUGGUUACACAACUGGAUGCAAGUGUCCAAAUUCAGAACUAUACAUACACAUUUAAGUGUCCAUCAACAGAUGAAUGGAUAAGGAAAAUGUGAUAUAUAUGCACAAUGGAAUAUUAUUCAGCCAUAAAAAAUAAUGAGAUCCUGUCAUUUGCAACAAAAUGGGUGAAACUGGAGGUCAUUGUGUUAAGUGAAAUAAGCCAGGCACAGAAAGACAAAUGUCUCAUGUUCUCACUCUUUUGUGGGAGCUAAAAUUUAAAACAAUUGAACUGGAGAUAGAUGGUAGAAGGAUGGUUACCAGGGGCUGGGAAGGGGAAUAGAGAAGUGGGAGGAAGUGAGGAUGGUUAAUGGGAAGGGAAUGUUGGUUACCAGAGUUUGGGAAGGGGAGUAGGGAAGUGGGAUGGAAGUGAGGAUGGUUAAUGGGAAGGGAAUGUUGGUUACCAGAGUUUGGGAAGGGGAGUAGGGAAGUGGGAUGGAAGUGAGGAUGGUUAAUACAAAAGGAUAGUUAGAAAGAAUGAAUAAGAAUUAGUAUUUGACAGCACAACAGAAAGACUAUAGCCAAUACUUAAUUGUACAUUUUAAAAUAACUAAAAGAGUAUAAUUGGAUUGUUUUGUAACAAAAAGAAUAAAUGCUUGAGGUGAUGUAUUCCCCAUUUGCCCUGAUGUGAUUACUAUGCAUUGCAUGUGUGUAUCAAAAUAUCUCAUGUACCCCAUUAAUAUAUACACCUACUGUGUACCCACAGAAAUUAAAAAUUUAAAAAACAACUGUACAUGAAAAGAAUGAGUUGUACUGUAACUAAAUUACAUCUCAAUACAUUUAAAAAGAAUUUAAGAAAGCGUUCUUUUAGUACUUUCAUGAUCUCAGCAACUACAUGAGCACUGCACUUAAGCCCUUAAUUAACUUUCACAAUUCCUUUGAACUUGUUGGAGGUGUCCAUUUGCUAAUGAUUAGUUUGUUCAUACUCAUUUGACUCUGAUCUGCAAGGAUAAAAUAUGAAAAUUAUUCUCUCCCUCUCAUUCUUUUCUUUUCCUUCCCUCUGAUUUCCUCUCUCCUUCUCAUUGUCUCUCCCUCUUUCUUUACCAGUAAAAGUAUACCUCUAUAUGUUGCUGGCAGUAAGGCAUGGAGAUGGAUUUAUGUCACCUUUGACAAAGGCGCUUUUUGUGAACUAGAUUCUAUGGAGCUGCAAGGCCAUAUUGGCAUUGAAAACUCUAGGAUGAGCUUUAAUUAAUCAAGUAUCUGCUUCUGUUAGCCCCAUAAUGCAUAUGGAGAUUUCCAGAUCUUUCUUAGAAUGCUGGCAAAGGCUGCCCUAUUUCCUCUGGCAAGCCACUUCUUGAAUUUCUAUUAUACAAAAUGUGGAAAUUGGAGGCAGCCCUGGGCAUCAAGGGUGUGGCUAUGCAACUGUGAUCUUGGGGAGUAGCGUUUGAAAUCAGAGAAACCUUAUAUUAGAUGGAUCAAGGAGGGAGCCAGGAGAUUGAUAUCCUCAGAAGGUGUUACAUGUUUCUCUUGGAAUUGCAGUUGCUCAAAUUUCUCUCUUUCUCAAUUUUUUUUGGCAAUGAACAUUUUUAAACUUUUACAAAACUAGACAGAAUAGUUUGGUUGACCCCUGUAACCAUCAUCCAUAUUCAAAAACUAUCAGUUUAUGACUAACCUUGUUUCAGCAAUACCCUCAGUAACCCCUUGCCUUAGUCAUUUUGAAGCAAAUUCCAGACAUAUCAUUUCUUCUGCAAAUAUCUCACUAUUUAUCUCAAAAAUAUAAAUAUUCUAUUUUAAAAAUAACCAUAAUUCUACCUUAGAAAGUAACAAUAAAUUUCUUGAUAUCAUUAAAUAUUAGUAUUCAAAUUUCCAAUUCUUUUAUAAAUGAUUUUAUUUUGUUAUGUUUUGUUUGCAUAAAUGUGUUUAAAAACAGUUUGCUUGAAUCAGGAUCCAAACAAGGUCUACACAUUUCAAUUCAGUUGCUAUCUCUUAUGCCUUUUUAAAUCUGUUUCCCCUCUAUUUCUUUUUUAAAAUAAACUUUAUAUUUUAGAAUAGUUCUAGAUCUAUAGCAAAGAAAGUUAGUACAGCAAUUUCUCAUAUACCCCAUACCCAGUUUCCCCACUAUUAACAUCUACAUUGGUAUGGUGCAUUUAUUAUAAUGAAUGAAGCAAUAUAAAUACAUUAUUAACUGAAGUCCAUACUUUAUUCAGAUUUCCUUAGUUUUUACUAACAUCCUUUUUCUGUUCCCAUCUAGGACACCACAUUACAUUUAGUCAUCAUGUCUCCUUCGGCUCCUCUUGCCUAUGACAGUUUCUCAGAGUUUCUUUGUUUUUGAUGAACUUGGAGGCUUUGAGAAGUACUGAUCACGUAUUUUGUAGAAUGUCCCUAAAUAGGGCUUUGUCUGAUAUUUUUCUCGUGAUUAUAGUAGGGAUAGGGGUUUUGGAGAGGAAUCUUGCAGAGGUGAAGUGCCGUUCCUAUCACACUGUAUCAAGAAUACGUACUAUUGACAUGACUUAUGGUUGACAUUGGCCCUGUUUGUCUGAGGUAGUUUGUCAGGUUUCUCCACUGUAAAGUUACUCCUUUCUCACCUUCCUCAUACUGUAGUCUCUGGAAUGAAGUCGCUCUGUGAAGCCCACAUUUAGAGUGAAGAGUUAUGAGCCACCUCCUUGAGGGUGUAAUAUUUGCAUAAGUUAUUUGGAAUUCUUUUGCACAGAAGAUUUUUCUCUUCUCCCUCAUUUAUUUAUUUAUUCAAUAGUCUAUAUAUAUGGGGACUCAUGGGUAUUUAUUCUUUGGGUUAUAAUCCACUAUUAUUUUAUUUUGUUGCUCAAAUUAUUCCUGAUUAUAUGCUAACUCAUGUAUAUAUACAUAUCAAUAUUUUCAUAUGUAACAUCUGUAUCUACGUUAAGUUUAAUAUGAAUUUAUGCUACUAUCUCCAACUCUAAUAAAUUACCACAAAGAUAAUUUUAGCCUCCACCCUUGCUUAUCUCUAAAUUUCCAAUCUCAAAUUUCUCAACAGUGAAAAACUUGGCUCCUACCAUCCACCAUCCAAUUGCUUAAUUGUCCAAUUCCAGUAUACAUGCAUGACAGUAUCCGAAUUGUUAACCCAUGGCAAUAACUUUAUCAAGCAGAAUACAGUGCUUAUGUGCAAUUCUUUUUGUUUUUAGUCUUACAGACUCCAUUUAUUUCCAAAAUUACUUAAGUAAGUUGGCACUUAAGUUGAACAUACACCUAUCAUAUGACCCAUCCAUUCCAUUCCUAGCUACUUACCCAAAGGAAAUGAAAUCAUAUUUCCAUACAAAGACUUACAAACAAGUGCUUAUAGAGCCUUUAUUUGUAGCAGCCCAAACCAAAAACAACCCAAAAUGUCUAUCUACAGGUGAAUGGAUGAGCAAAUUUGAUUUUUCCAAACAAAUACUAAUUAGCAACAAAAAGAAAUGAGGUGUUAAUAUGUGCAACAAUAUGGAUGAAUCUGAAAAUUAUUAUGCUGAGUAAAAGAAGCCAGAUACAAAAGAGCAAAUACUGAAAAAAAAAGAGUACAUACUGUAUGAGUUCAUUUAUGUUAAAUUUUAGGAAAUGUAAAUGAUAAUGACAGAAAGCUGAUCAGUGAUUGCCUGGGAAUCAAGAGGUUUGGAAGAGUGGCAGGAGGGAGCAACUAUAAAGACACAAACUUUGGAGGAUGAUGGAUAUGUUCACUCGCUUGAUUGUGAGGAUGUUUUCAUGGAUAAAAUCAUAUGCAAAAGUUAUCCAAUUGCAUGGUUUAAAUAUGUACAGCUUAUGUCCAUUUUACCCCAAUAAAAAAGUCUGUGCUUCCUAUCCUUUACUGAUUCACUCUAGAGCAGCUUCUCAAACUUUAAUGUACACAUGAAGAAGGUACAAUUCUCUCUCCCCUGAGAGCUGUGUUAAAAUGCAGAUUCUGAUUGCUAUGCCUAGGAAGUGACCUGAGAUUCUGCAUUUGUAACAAGCACCUAGAUGGUGCCAUUGCUGCUGGUCUGAGGGGUCACACUUUGGGUAGCAGGUGUGGUGGUUCAUAUACUCCAUAUAUAAGAAUCUCAGCUCCUCUACAAAUAACAUUCUAACUUUGGGAAAUUUUCUUUCCCUCUUGAGUCUUUAUUUGUUUAUCUGCUAAAUGGAUACAAUAAAGAUAUUUUUUUCCAGUUUGUUCUUAAAUUAGGAAAUAAUGCAAAGGAAGAUCAAUAAUCAACCCCCCUUCAAUAAUCAAAGUAUAAGAAUACAUAGUUCUCCAUUUGCUUGGUAGAUCUUCCUCCAUCCCUUUAUUUUGAGCCUAUGUGUGUCUGUGCAUGUGAGAUGCAUUUCCUGAAUACAGCACACUGAUGGGUCUUGACUCUUUAUCCAAUUUGCCAGUCUGUGUCUUUUAAUUGGAGCAUUUAGCCCAUUUACAUUUAAGGUUAAUAUUGUUAUAUGUGAAUUUGAUCCUGUCAUUAUGAUGUUAGCUGUUUAUUUUGCUCCUUAGUUGAUGCAGUUUCUUCCUAGCAUCGAUGGUCUUUACAAUUUGGCAUGUUUUUGCAGUGGCUUGUACCGGUUGUUCCUUUCCAUGUUUAGUGCUUCCUUCAGGAGCUCUUGUAGGGCAGUCCUGGUGGUGACAAAAUCUCUUAGCAUUUGUUUGUCUGUAAAGUAUUUUAUUUCUCCUUCAUUUAUGAAGCUUAGUUUGGCUGGAUAUGAAAUUCUGGGUUGAGAAUUCUUUUCUUUUAGAAUGUUGAAUAUUGGUCCCCACUCUCUUCUGGCUUGUAGAGUUUCUUCUGAGAGAUCAGCUGUUAGUCCAUUGGGCUUCCCUUUGUGGGUAACCUAACCUUUCUCUCUGGCUCCCCUUAACAUUUUUUCCUUCAUUUCAACUUUGGUGAAUCUGACAAUUAUGUGUCUUGGAGUUGCUCUUCUCGAGGAGUAUGUUUGUGGCAUUCUCUGUAUUUCCUGAAUUUGAAUGUUGGCCUGUCUUGCUAGGUUGGGGAAGUUCUCCUGGAUAAUAUCCUGCAGAGUGUUUUCCACCUUGGUUCCAUUCUCCCUGUCACUUUCAGGUACACCAAUCAGAUGUAGAUUUGGUCUUUUCACAUAGUCCCAUAUUUCUUGGAGGCUUUGUUCGUUUCUUUUUAUUCUUCUUUCUCUAAACUUUUUGCUUCAUUUCAUUCAUUUCAUCUUCAGUCACUGAUACCCUUUCUUCCAGCUGAUCGAAUCGGCUAUGGAAGCUUGUGCAUUCGUCACAUUGUUCUCGUGCCAUGGUUUUCACCUCCGUCAGGUCAUUUAAGGCCUUCUCUACAUUGGUUAUUGUAGUUAACCAUUUGUCUAAUAUUUUUUAAAGGUUUUUAACUUUUUUGCAAUGGGUUCAAACUUCCUCCUUUAGCUCAGAGAAGUUUAAUCAUCUGAAGCCUUCUUCUAUCAACACGUCAAAGUCAUUCUCCAUCCAGCUUUGUUCCAUUGCUGGUGAGGAGCUGCGUUCCUUUGGAGGAGGAUAGGCACUCUGAUUUUUAGAAUUUUCAGUUUUUCUGCUCUGUUUUUUCCCCAUCUUUGUGGUUUUAUCUACCUUUGGUCUUUGAUGAUGGUGAUGUACAGAUGGGGUUUCGCUGUGGAUGUCCUUUCUGUUUGUUGGUGUUCUUUCUAACAGUCAGGACCCUCAGCUGCAGGUCUGUUGGAGUUUGCUGGAGGUCCACUGCUGGAGUUUGCCUGGGUAUCAGCAGCGGAAGCUGCAGAACAGCAAGCAUUGCCGAACAGCAAAUGUUGCUGUCUGAUCGUUCCUCUGGAAAUUUCAUAUGCACCCAAUACAGGAGCACCCAGAUUCAUAAAGAAAGUCCUUAGACACCUGCAAAGAGACUUAGACUCCCACACAAUAAUAAUGGGAGACUUUAACACCCCACUGUCAACAUUAGACAGAUCAACGAGACAGAAAGUUAACAAGGAAUCCAGGACUUGAACUCAGCUCUGCACCAAGCCAACCUAAUAGACAUCUACAGAACUCUCCACCCCAAAUCAACAGAGUAUACAUUCUUCUAAGCACCACAUCGCACUUAUUCCAAAAUUGACCACAUAGUUGGAAGUAAAGCACUCCUCAGCAAAUGUAAAAGAACAGAAAUUAUAACAAACUGUCUCUCAGACCACGGCGCAAUCAAACUAGAACUCAGGAUUAAGAAACUCACUCAAAACCGCUCAACUACAUGGAAACCAAACAAUCUGCUCCUGAAUGACUACUGGGUACAUAACAAAAUGAAAGCAGAAAUAAAGAUGUUCUUUGAAACCAACGAGAACAAAGACACAACAUACCAGAAUCUCUGGGACACAUUUAAAGCAGUGUGUAGAGGGAAAUUUAUAGCACUAAAUGCCCACGAGAGAAAGCAGGAAAGAUCUAAAACUGACACCCUAACAUCACAAUUAAAAGAACUAGAGAAGCAAGAGCAAACAAAUUCAAAAGCUAGCAGAAGGCAAGAAAUAACUAAGAUCAGAGCAGAACUGAAGGAGAUAGAGACACAGAAAACCCUUCAAAAAAUCAAUGAAUCCAGGAGCUGGUUUUUUGAAAGGAUCAACAAAAUUGACAGACUGCUAGCAAGACUAAUACAGAAGAAAAGAGAGAAGAAUCAAAUAGAUGCAAUAAAAAAUGAUAAAGGGGAGAUCACCACCAAUCCCACAGAAAUAUAAACUAUCAUCAGAGAAUACUAUAAACACCUCUACACAAAUAAACUAGAAAAUCUAGAAGAAAUGGAUAAAUUCCUCAACACAUACACCCUCCAAAGACUAAACGAGGAAGAAGUCGAAUCCCUGAAUAGACCAAUAACAGGCUCUGAAAUUGAGGCAAUAAUUAAUAGCCUACCAACCAAAAAAAAAGUCCAGGACCAGAAGGAUUCACAGCCAAAUUCUACCAGAGGUAUAAGGAGGAGCUGGUACCAUUCCUUCUGAAACUAUUCCAAUCAAUAGAAAAAGAGGGAAUCCUCCCUAACUCAUUUUAUGAGGCCAGAAUCAUCCUGAUACCAAAGCCUGGCAGAGACACAACAAACAAAGAGAAUUUUAGACCAAUAUCCCUGAUGAACAUCGAUGCAAAAAUCCUCAAUAAAAUACUGGCAAACUGAAUCCAGUAGCACGUCAAAAAGCUUAUCCACCAUGAUCAAGGGGGCUUCAUCCCUGGGAUGCAAGGCUGGUUCACCAUACAGAAAUCAAUAAACGUAAUCCAUCAUAUAAACAGAACCAAAGACAAAAACCACAGGAUUAUCUCAAUAGAUGCAGAAAAGGCCUUUGACGAAAUUCAACAGCCCUUCAUGUUAAAAACUCUCAAUAAAUUAGGUAUUGAUGGGACGUAUCUCAAAAUACUAAGAGCUAUUUAUGACAAACCCACAGCCAAUAUCAUACUGAAUGGGCAAAAACUGGAAGCAUUCCCUUUGAAAACUGGCACAAGACAGGGAUGCCCUCUCUCACUACUCCUAUUCAACAUAGUGUUGGAAGUUCUGGCCAGGGCAAUCAGGCAGGAGAAAGAAAUAAAGGUAUUCAGUUAGGAAAAGAGGAAGUCAAAUUGUGCCUAUUUGCAGAUGACAUGAUUGUAUAUCUAGAAAACC
rnacentral:lncRNA from 1 species